rnacentral:lncRNA from 1 species
GCUCUGUUACACUGAAUCACAUUUCUUGCAUUUGCAGAUGCUAGUCAUGAUUGCUUCCCAGCCCCCUGCAACCUUGGUUGAGCACACAGUGAUAUGCCCUCAUAUUUGGACUCUUAUGAAUCUGUUUUUCCUCUUUUUACUGAUGUUUUUCAGAUUCUUGUUCCUUUUUCUUCAUCAUAAUACUCAGCCAUCUUUAAUGAAAACACAUCCUCUGUAAAUCCAGAGUGCAGAUAUGCUUUAGGAACUGAUCUUGUACCCUUAAUUGUGUAAGGUAAUGUCCAUAAGGUGUGAAAGAAUUUUAGACAACCCCCCCUGCAGACUCUAAUAUCCUCCUCCUUCAAUUAUUUCACAGUGCUCUUUCCAAAGUAAUUUACAUCAUCAGUUCAACUUACUGAAAAUCUGUUUAAGUCCACAACUGGGCUUAAAAGGUGAUCAGCAAAGUGAGGUUAGUAUGACCUGCUUGUAAAGAAGGUGUGACUAUUAUGUAAUAAACUAGAAUAUUAAUAAUCUGCA